UUACUAGUGUUCAGUGGUGUAGUGUUAGUGGCUAUUUGGGGCCGCUGUGCAUCUCACGUGGCCCCCAAGUGCCGUCUGCGCCAUACGGAAGUGGAUAUGGAGUAGAACGAUCGCCUGCUUCUUCCGUUCCGUUUUUGAUGGCUACGAGGCACAUCACUAGGCACAUGAGGCGCACCCAAAAAUGUGCUGACCCCAGCAGGCAAAGACACCACGGCCCCACGCGAGAGAUUGUCGUUCUGGGUGGAAGAAGCGCCCGAUCGUACGGCCGGUAGUGGUGGUGAAUGUGUGUACUCAGAGAUAUGUUGUGCGUGUGAGUGUAUCCAAGAACGCAGUCCGCUUCUUCGACUCCGUCCACGAACGUCUCCCACAAACGCGACGACGGCCGAGGAAGAUGAAUUAUUUGGCGAAGAUAAUGCUGAUAGCAUCGCUCUUGGUGCACCAGAAAUCGAUCCGUUGGAUGAGCAUGUUGUGUUGAAGUUUGGAGUCUCGUGGAAUGCCACCUGCAAAUCCCAUCAACCGAUCUUGUGGGUACCAUAUGAAGAUUCGUAUGUAUGGCUACCUCCCGAUAUCAUCCUGUUAGUGAAACAGGAUCCUGAGCGACCACAUCUGGAAAAUGCCAGGCACUUGCUUACGAUCGACGCGGCCAUGCUCGAGGACAAAGGCACAGCAGCGAUGAUUUUGUCAGUCUGAGUGAGGAGAACCGAUUAACGAUGAUCAAUUCCGCGUCCCACUGAAGGUUGCCAGCAGUGAAAAAGAAACCUCGAUCGCAUCAUCCCGCACCUACAGGAUUAUCGCCAAUCAGCCAGGAAUCGUAUACUGCAAGGCAGCCAACUCGGAAGGAAGCGAAAUCUUACAAACUGAUCUAUUGGUGAGCGAUCUUCCCGAAGCUAUCGUUAUGGAGCGGGUAGAUCCUAAGGAAAUUGUCACCGUCGGCGAUAAAGUGAUGUUCAUCUGCUCGGCGCUUGUCUACAACUACACCAAAGAAAUCAUGUUCACGCACAAUGGAAAGGAACUGCACGAAGGUGAUAACGAAGGAGUACAAGUGACCUACUCGCCUAAAUCGUUUGCUUGGGAAGGACGACUGACGAUCGAUAACGUAGUGCGUGAACAAUCUGGCGAUAUCUCCUGCAACGCAUGAAAUGGCGUGAAAACGGAAACAACGGCGACAGAUGGAAUUUUGGGACAAUUGCUGAUGAUGUGUGCUGAUCAAGUUUGGCGAAUGGACCAUAAGCUCGUGGAAAUUCAAAUGGAAUUGAACAAACGCCGCAAAGAAGUCCCCUGAGCCAGAGUCAUGCAGGACCUUCGUUAGGGUAUCCUUCGAUCAUCGACUGCGUGACCACCGGGCAAUCGGCUGCGCGAGAGAUUGAUCAACCAUACCCUGAAGCAGAAUCAUUAUGGUUAUUGUGGUUAAUAAAAUCGUGCAGCGAAAGUUUCUUUCCUUAACUUUUUUCUACAAAUCACGAAUGCAUUUAGUCACCCUAAUACUAAUAACCGAAAAUGUAGCAACAACGUCAUCAGAAACACCAACAGUUCAAAACAAAAUAAAACCAUCUGCUUAAAUUCGAUAUGAA